CCCUUAGAUGUUCUGGGCAGCACGCGCGCUACAAUGGUCUUCGCUAACGGAUGCAUUCUCGAAGGAGAAUGCCAAUCUUGGAAUCUAUGCCUUGGUCGGGACAGUUGCUUGCAAUUUUUCGACUCGAACCAGGAAUUCCUUGUAAUCGUGAUUCAUCACAUCACGAUGAAUACGUCCCUGCCCUUUGUACACACCGCCCGUCGCUCCUACCGAUCGAAGAGUUAGGUGAAUUGUUUUGAUCGAUAAGAUUUGACUAUGGUCAACUCUCGUUGUGAAAUUCUGUGAAUCUGACUGUUUAGAGGAAGGAAAAGUCGUAACA
rnacentral:rRNA from 1 species